UACGGAGGGUGCGAGCGUUGUUCGGAUUCAUUGGGCGUAAAGGGUGCGUAGGUGGCGCGUUAAGUCAGGUGUGAAAUUUCGGAGCUUAACUCCGAAACUGCAUUUGAUACUGGCGUGCUUGAGGACUGGAGAGGAGACUGGAAUUUACGGUGUAGCGGUGAAAUGCGUAGAUAUCGUAAGGAAGACCAGUGGCGAAGGCGGGUCUCUGGACAGUUCCUGACGCUGAGGCACGAAGGCCAGGGGAGCAAACGGG
rnacentral:rRNA from 1 species